rnacentral:rRNA from 1 species
CGAUACGCAUUGUGAAUUGCAGAUUUCAGUGAACCAUUAGAUCUCCGAACGCAUAUGGCGCUGUAGGGACUUCCCUACAGCACGUCUGUUUCAGUGUCUUU